rnacentral:rRNA from 1 species
GAUGAACGCUGGCGGCGUGCUUAAUACAUGCAAGUCGAGCGAACAGACGCUGCGCUUGUUCCUUUCUCGAUAGCGGAAGAGGGGUGAGUCACACGAGUAUAAUCUCCCUAUCAGACGGGGAAAUUUACGGGACUCCGGCGAAAAUACCAGAUGAUAUACUGCACCGCAUGGUGCAAUAGUAAAAGACGGUUUUGCUGUCUCUUAUAGAUGGUUACCCGCCGCAUGAGCUAGUUGGUAAGGUACCAGCUUAUCAAGGGAACGAUGCGUAGCCGACCUGAGAGGGUGAUCGGCCACACUGGAACUGAGACACGGUCCAGACGCCUACGGGAGGCAGCAGUAGGGAAUCUUCCGCAAUGGGCGGAAGCCUUACGGAGCAGCGCCGCGUGAGUGAUGAAGGUCUUCGGAUCGUAAAACUCUGUUAUUAGGGAAGAACAAAUGUGUAAGUAACUAUGCACGUCUUGACGGUACCUAAUCAGAAAGCCACGGCUAACUACGUG